rnacentral:rRNA from 1 species
AGAGUUUGAUCCUGGCUCAGGAUGCAUGCUAGCGACAGGCUUAACACAUGCAAGUCGAGGGGCAGCGGGGUAGGAAGCUUGCUUUCUGCCGCCGGCGACCGGCGCACGGGUGAGUAACACGUAUGCAACCUGGCCGUGACUGAUGGAUAACCGGGAGAAAUCCCGCCUAAUACAACAUAAUGCCGGGAGGGGACAUCCCCUGCCGGCCAAAGGGGGCGACCCCGGUCACGGAUGGGCAUGCGGCGCAUUAGGUAGUUGGUGGGGCAACGGCCCACCAAGCCGACGAUGCGUAGGGGUUCUGAGAGGAAGGUCCCCCACAUUGGAACUGAGACACGGUCCAAACUCCUACGGGAGGCAGCAGUGAGGAAUAUUGGUCAAUGGCCGGAAGGCUGAACCAGCCAAGUCGCGUGUGGGAAUAAGGCCCUACGGGUCGUAAACCUCUUUUGCCAGGGAGCAAUGCCGUCCACGUGUGGACGGAAGGAGAGUACCUGGAGAAAAAGCAUCGGCUAACUCCGUGCCAGCAGCCGCGGUAAUACGGAGGAUGCGAGCGUUAUCCGGAUUCAUUGGGUUUAAAGGGUGCGCAGGCGGAGCGUCAAGCCGGCGGUAAAAUCGUGGGGCCCAACCCCAUCCCGCCGUCGGAACUGGCGCCCUUGAGUGGCCGAGAGGUAGGCGGAAUGCGUGGUGUAGCGGUGAAAUGCAUAGAUAUCACGCAGAACGCCGAUUGCGAAGGCAGCCUACUGGCGGCCCACUGACGCUCAGGCACGAAAGCGUGGGGAUCAAACAGGAUUAGAUACCCUGGUAGUCCACGCAGUAAACGAUGGAUGCUAGCCGUCCGGGGGAAUUGGCCCCUGGGGGGCGCAGCGAAAGCGUUAAGCAUCCCACCUGGGGAGUACGCCGGCAACGGUGAAACUCAAAGGAAUUGACGGGGGCCCGCACAAGCGGAGGAACAUGUGGUUUAAUUCGAUGAUACGCGAGGAACCUUACCCGGGCUCAAACGCCAUAGGACAGUCCUUGAAAGAGGAUCUCCCCUCGGGGCCUAUGGCGAGGUGCUGCAUGGUUGUCGUCAGCUCGUGCCGUGAGGUGUCGGCUUAAGUGCCAUAACGAGCGCAACCCCCGCCGCCAGUUGCCACCAUUUCGGAUGGGCACUCUGGCGGGACUGCCAGCGCAAGCUGCGAGGAAGGCGGGGAUGACGUCAAAUCAGCACGGCCCUUACGUCCGGGGCGACACACGUGUUACAAUGGCGGGGACAGAGGGAUGCCACCUGGCGACAGGGAGCGAAGCCCCAAACCCCGCCCCAGUUCGGAUCGGAGUCUGCAACCCGACUCCGUGAAGCUGGAUUCGCUAGUAAUCGCGCAUCAGCCAUGGCGCGGUGAAUACGUUCCCGGGCCUUGCACUCACCGCCCGUCAAG